CUCAGCAUAUCAAUAAGCCGGAGGAAAAUGAUACCCACAGGGAUUUGCCCCCAGUAACCGGCGAGUGAAGCGGCAACAGCUCAAAUUUGAAAUCUUGGCCCCUCGGGCCCGAGUUGUAAUUUGUAGAGGAUGCUUUUGGCAAGGUGCCGCCCGAGUUCCCUGGAACGGGACGCCACAGAGGGUGAGAGCCCCGUCUGGCUGGCCGCCGAGCCUCUGUAAAGCUCCUUCGACGAGUCGAGUAGUUUGGGAAUGCUGCUCAAAAUGGGAGGUAUAUGUCUUCUAAAGCUAAAUAUUGGCCAGAGACCGAUAGCGCACAAGUAGAGUGAUCGAAAGAUGAAAAGCACUUUGAAAAGAGGGUUAAACAGUACGUGAAAUUGUUGAAAGGGAAGCGCUCAUGACCAGACUUGGGCUUGGCGGAUCAUCCGGCGUUCUCGCCGGUGCACUUCGCCUCGCCCAGGCCAGCAUCAGUUCGCGCCGGGGGACAAAAGCUUCGGGAAUGUGGCUCCUCCGGGAGUGUUAUAGCCCGUUGCAUAAUACCCUGGUGCGGACUGAGGUCCGCGCAUCUGCAAGGAUGCUGGCGUAAUGGUCAUCAGCGACCCGUCUUGAAACACGGACCAAGGAGUCGUCUUCGUAUGCGAGUGUUCGGGUGUUAAACCCCUACGCGUAAUGAAAGUGAACGCAGGUGAGAGCUUCGGCGCAUCAUCGACCGAUCCUGAUGUUCUCGGAUGGAUUUGAGUAAGAGCAUACGGGGCCGGACCCGAAAGAAGGUGAACUAUGCCUGUAUAGGGUGAAGCCAGAGGAAACUCUGGUGGAGGCUCGCAGCGGUUCUGACGUGCAAAUCGAUCGCUCAAAUAUGGCAUGGGGGGCGAAGACUAAUCGAACCUUUCUAGUAGCUGGGUUUCCGCCGAAGU
rnacentral:rRNA from 1 species